rnacentral:lncRNA from 1 species
UCCCUUUCUCAUCACAUGAAGUGUGAACACAGAAGCUUUCAAUUCAGGACUACGUGAGUCAACUACUUUUGAAUUUCUAAAUCUGGUCUUGAUGAAUAUGUAGAGAAGAAUUUUCUCCCUCUCUUUCUCCUUUUCUUUUUCCUUUCUUCUUUUCUUUCGAAGGAAGAUACAAUUAGAUUUUUUUUCUAACAAAAGAUGUUAUGCAACUUGAAAAUAAAGCCUACAUUUGAUUUUCUUCUGCUUUCUAAGUUGGAGUUUUUAGUAUAUAUUAGGCAACUCCAUACAAACAAAAUAUACCAUAAAACAGCAACAACAAAAAACAAGCUGGCUUAUGUUUUUACCUUUAAAUGGAGACAUAUUCAAAGACAUGCCAAUCUGACCUCUAAUUAUUUGAAACAAUUUUACUUUAUUUGAUCUAAGUCUAUGGGGAAAAUGCUAAGCAGAGAUUACACUUCUACAUCCAUCCAAAAAAAAAAAAAAAAAAAAAAAAACUUCUAAAAGUCCUUUCUACGUGUUUGUCACUAAGUCAGUACAGAGACUGGGGUGAGGCAAAUGACGUGUGAGCUUAGGUGUAAAGUUUAAGUAGUCAUGAGAAUUACAAUAAUAAACAUAAACUGUAUUCAUUUCAAUACACUAUUGAAAAGUCAACGUUAAUGCCAAAAAAACCAUGACGAACAAAAUAGUGAAAUUUUACAUAAGGAUGUGAUCAAUCUUAUACUGUACAACUCACCUACCUUAUAUCACAUCUAGUCCUGGCUCUUUUGUUGCUCCCAAUUACUCUCUCAUACAUACUGCUGACAAUGGCUCCAGAUUCUUACUCUUUGUGUCCACCACACUACAAAUAUCACAUGCACACACAUAUACAAACACACACAUCACUUCUCUCUUUAACUCCACCUGAGUUUGUUCUCUCAUGCACUUUCCUUUCUUUAUAACAUAUGAGCUGUUUGAUACUACAACCUGUCCUAUUGGGUUUCUCUAAUUUUCUAACUCCCCUGAUUAACUGCAUUAGGCAAAAUAAAUGUGGUCCCAGUGACUGAGUGAGAAAGAUUCUUUUGUUUUUAGAGGAAGUGUGUCUGUUAUUUCUGAAGAGAGAAAUGUAAUAUGGAGUAAUAUAAUGAUAAUGGCAAGGACACUUACAUUCAUAAAGAAGUGUUCACUUUUUUCAGCACUUUCACAUAUGGUAUGUCCUAGGCUCCUUCUCUGUGACUGACAUAAGAAGGGUAAUUACUACUACUCCUAUUUUAUAGAUGAGAAAACUGAGGCAAAGAGAGAUAAAUUUCCUUGUUCAAGCCCACCUAUUCAAAAAGCAUCUCUGCUUACCCAAUAAGUUGUAUAACCUGAUACUUUGCUAUUUUUUAUUUAAAAUCCAUAUUUGUAGAAAAGGUUAACGUUGUGACUCAUAAUUAGAGAACUGUUUUUCAUGUGAAUGCUUCCUGUGGGCUAUGAGAAAUUUGAUAAUAGAAUUAGCUAGGUGAAUACGCUGCCAUAUAAUAGCAAUUAUUCUGGCUCUGCCAGAUAAAACAAAUGUACACAAUAGGUUUGUGUCUAUAUUUCCAACUGGUUUUAACAACAAUGAUGGUAUGUGCUGUCAAAAAAAAAAAAGUUAGCACUAUCCAAAAAUAGUUUUCUUGCCUUUUGGGUUGAUUUGUCUGUCAAAAUGAUGAACCAAUUGUGCAAGGAGAAUCAGCAUUUAGGGGGUAUCUUUUUAUACCUGUCACAGCAGUCCGUCCUGCCAAAGUGUAAGCUGAUAAAAAUGCCUCAAGUCUUCCCUUAUCAGUCAAGUAUAGCCCUGAUUUUAAGAAGGAAAACUAACUGCAGAGCAAGAUGCUCAGAAAGUAAUAUAAUGAAGAGUGUCUUGAAAAUAAUGUGAGCAACAGCUUUUUGACAUAUGUGUAUUUUACAACACUGAUAAUUUAAAGAAAAUAAAGGAAAAUCAAAAUUCCAUGCUUAUUAAUGACCUAUUUCUUCAUACUGGAUACCAAACUCCAUACCAAAGUACUCAUGUUAAAGUUUUAGCCAUUAAGGAAAAGGGUCAUACCCCUCUAGAAUACACCAAAAAGUGUAUCAAAUUAUUUUCUAAAAUAGCCCAAAGCAGUUCAAGUAGUUUCAGAUUGCUUCAGGCAGUCUUAAAUUCCUAACUGACAAGUGUUAGGGAAUUUAGCUGUAAUCAUCUUUUCAUUCAAGAAAAAGUUAAUAUUGCAAAAAAAUAGAAACAAGCGUUUCAUAUUUGCACAUUUUAAAAUGGAGAACAAAGGGUACAAUGUCCUCCAGAUAAUAUUUAUCUUUGUUUAAAAUUGCUAAAUAGUGCUGGCUAGAAAGAACUAACAAAACAAAUUUCUUCAUACAGUUCUGAGUCUAGAAGGCAUAACCUUCUUUAACAGCAGCACCUGGGAAAAGAACUGCAACAGUAAUUAUAUUUCGGUGACAAUUAUCAUACUUUUAUACAGAUUUCAGAAAAAUGGCCUAACUCAUUAGGAAUCAAGAAAAUAGAUUAAUGUGGUUUAUUGAACCUGAGUCAUCUGAUAAAACUAGAACUCACACUAACUUGUAGUAGAUCUCAUUUUAGCCAUAUAUUGCUGAAAAUAAUUUGAUAUAUUUUCUAUAUUCAUUGACAGCCAAGGAGCUUAAGAGUGUUUAAUAAAUGACUUGGAAACAACAGUGAAAGCAAUGAAAGGUGUUUUCUACUUUAUUCUUACGUGGGGUUAACAGGAUGUUAAAGAUCUCACAUCUCUUCCAAUCCAAGACUAUUCCAGGGAGAUAAUCAUUCACAUUCAGCAUGAACUGCUAAUAGCACAGACUCAAGAUAUGGCUCUUCCAAUAUUAUGGAACUGUUAUCCUUCUUUUUUUUUUUUUCAUUAUUUUGAGUCAAAAUCUGUCAUCUUAUAAGUUCUUCUCAUUGUUCUUAAGUCUAUCUUAUGGGACAGUUUUAAAUAAUUAUAGUACCUUUUCCAAAUGGUAGGACAUCAAAAUCUGGAAGCUGCUAUCACCACUCUUCUAUGGCUUCUAAUUCCAUUUACACAUCCCCAAUUUCCUCAACUUUGCAUUUGUCACACAAAUCAGACAUCUAAAUUCCAUGUCAAAUUCCAGAUUUCAUUUUUAUAUAUUUUCUUGUGAAACACAGGGGUGAUCAUAGAACUUCAAAUAUAUUUACAUAAAAAUAGUUAAUUUCAAAACUAAUAUAGUGGAACUGAGCUCCUAAAAGGAUAUUUCUCCUCUCCCUCUCUCUCCUUCUCUCUCUUUCUCUCCCCAAAUUUAUUAUACUAGAAAUUUUUUUCUUCUUUCAAAAUGUACUCAAAUUUUGGAAUUCCCAUCGUGGUGCAGCGGAAAUGAAUCUGACUAGGAACCAUGAGGUUGCGGGUUCAAUCCCUGGCCUUGCUGUUCAGUGGGUUAAGGAUCCGCGUUGCUCUGAGCUGUGGUGUGGGUUGCAGACACGGCUUGGAUCUGGUAUUGCUGUGUCUGUGAUGUAGGCUGGCAGCUACAGCUCUGAUUAGACCCCGAGCCUGGGAACCUCCAGAUGCCACAGGUG